UACGUAGGGGGCGAGCGUUGUCCGGAUUCAUUGGGCGUAAAGAGCUCGUAGGCGGCUUGGCAAGUCGGAUGUGAAAACUCCAGGCUCAACCUGGAGCCGCCAUUCGAUACUGCCAUGGCUAGAGUCCGGUAGGGGAGUGUGGAAUUCCCGGUGUAGCGGUGAAAUGCGCAGAUAUCGGGAGGAACACCGAUGGCGAAGGCAGCACUCUGGGCCGGUACUGACGCUGAGGAGCGAAAGCGUGGGGAGCGAACAGG
rnacentral:rRNA from 1 species